AGGAGGCAGAUGGUUGAGCGUCGACAUUUAUUAUACCAAAAGGGGUAGGCAAAAGGCAGGUCGGGACAGGCGAGAGUUCAUAAACCAGGUCUGAGCCUAAACAGUACAAGAGGAUAGGCAGGCUCGAGGUCAGAACAGGCAGAGUGGUCAGGCAGGUGGAUUCGGCGUCAGGACAGGCAAGGGUCAAAACCAGCGGGGCUAGGGGAAAACAGAGACUGGGGGGAGGGGAACUCAGAGCUAGGAGAACCGCUGGUUGACUUGGCAAAACAAGACAAACUGGCACAGAGAGACAGGAAACACAGGGAUAAAUACACCGGGGACUAAUGGGGAAAACAGGAGACACCUGGAGGUAGGUAGAGACAAUCACAAAGACAGGUGAAACAGAUCAGGGCGUGACACUUUGAAGUAGAAAAUGGCCUUCUUUAGAGGAUAAGGUUGUUAGUUGGCAUCAGUAUAGGCUGUUCUCAAGCCAAGGCCAAGGACAGGAGAAACUGUAUCUAGGCCAACCUGCAUCUCCACCAGUAUUUGAGUGGAGGAUACUGUCUGCAAUGGAAAAAAGGUCAACACGGUGCAACAGUCCACUCCCAUUAUGGAAAUGCAUCCCAAAAUUCUCCAAAAUCCACCAUAUCCCAAGUCUCAUCUUAAAGGCUGCUGAACAUCUCUUCCAUGCUUCAGGGAGUGUGACAUAAUCUGUGUGGAUGGACUAAUUGACUACUUGAUUGAGUUCCCUGAAACAAUUGAUCCAGCCUAGCAGCAAGUCAACACCUGACUCCGGACUUCGUUUUCCCCGUUGUAGACAGAAUCCAUGAGGGCCUAAACAUCUCUCUGCAUUGUGCCACUCAGGAUUAGAGGAGAUGGAUGGACAUUGAAAAUAGAGAGGGUCUGGAAUUCUCCCCUGGAGGACUCAGUCAUGCUGAACGCUGACAUCUGAACGCAGCAGGGGGACUGCAUGCCUACUGCCUUGACUUCAGUACUUCCUGCAGUCAAACGACCAAAUCGCCCUCUAGUGGCCUCAUGGGUGGAAUGUUAUUCAUAAUUUCCUAAUUAAUAAAUAUUUUUUUAUCCGGUGUUUUUAUGUGAAACGGUUUUGUUAUUUCAUUCAUCUAUGAUGUAUAUCAAAUGUAAUAUUGGGAUGCAAACUCAAAAUUGAAUACAUUUCAACUCUAUAUCUGACAUGGUACAGGUGUCUUUUAUUUAAGGCCAUAACCAUGUGUGUGAGGUGUAUACUUUUGAUCAAAGUAGAUUUGUAUAAGACUACCAAGAAACACCCUGCGUGACCCU
rnacentral:lncRNA from 8 species